rnacentral:rRNA from 1 species
UUUAAUUCGAAGCAACGCGAAGAACCUUACCAGGUCUUGACAUCCUCUGACAACCCUAGAGAUAGGGCUUCUCCUUCGGGAACGGAGUGACAGGUGGUGCAUGGUUGUCGUCAGCUCGUGUCGUGAGAUGUUGGGUUAAGUCCCGCAACGAGCGCAACCCUUGAUCUUAGUUGCCAUCAUUUAGUUGGGCACUCUAAGGUGACUGCCGGUGACAAACCGGAGGAAGGUGGGGAUGACGUCAAAUCAUCAUGCCCCUUAUGACCUGGGCUACACACGUGCUACAAUGGACGGUACAAAGAGCUGCAAGACCGCGAGGUGGAGCUAAUCUCAUAAAACCGUUCUCAGUUCGGAUUGUAGGCUGCAACUCGCCUACAUGAAGCUGGAAUCGCUAGUAAUCGCGGAUCAGCAUGCCG